CGAACGCUGGCGGCGUGCUUAACACAUGCAAGUCGAACGGAAAGGCCUGCUUUCCCUUGUGGAUUGCGGGUACUCGAGUGGCGAACGGGUGAGUAACACGUGAGUGAUCUGCCCCCAACUUGGGUAUAAGCCUGGGAAACUGGGUCUAAUUCCCGAUAGGACUGCAGGGUGGUGCCUGUGGUGGAAAACGAUUUUCUAGUGGUUGGGGAUGAGCUCGCGGCCUAUCAGCUUGUUGGUGGGGUAAUGGCCUACCAAGGCGGCGACGGGUAGCCGGCCUGAGAGGGUGGACGGCCACAUUGGGACUGAGAUACGGCCCAGACUCCUACGGGAGGCAGCAGUGGGGAAUAUUGCACAAUGGGCGGAAGCCUGAUGCAGCGACGCCGCGUGGGGGAUGACGGCCUUCGGGUUGUAAACUCCUUUCGACCGCGAGGAAGCCACCUGGUUGGAAGGGUGGUGACGGUAGUGGUAGAAGAAGCACCGGCUAACUACGU
rnacentral:rRNA from 1 species